ACACCUCACUACUAUAACUUUUGUUGUAAUAGUGGACUUGGAAUGCGCUGAUGUCAAUCAGCCCUUCUAAAAUGGAGUUCUUGCACUGUUGAUUUGUUUUAACAGCAUGUUGGCCUAAUAAGUUUCGGCAGUAAUGUUGAAAUCACUGGCUUCUUUUGCUUAGAAUCUGACAGUCUUGAUAUACAGAAUUUUCGAGGAGACUUGUCUCUUCUUCAAA
rnacentral:misc_RNA from 1 species